CUUUUAAAGCGGCCUAUUUCCUAAUUUUCGAAAAAUCGUUCUAAAUUUCUAAAUUUUCUUUAAAAUCAGCAUAUUCACCGAAUUUUGCAGCAUUUAAACUCAAUGACUUAUUAUUUUUAAAAGUUUAAUUUUACCAUUUAUAUAGAAAGUUAGAAAUCUGUGCCUUAAGUCCAUUUUUUUAGUAAUGGAUUUGAUAUUAUCCGCACGACUUCCAUAAAGUUUUUAAUAAUCCAGUUAAUCGCAAUCUGACAACGAAAUACGACAGAGAAGAAGUAAAUCAGCUGCUCAAUCCUUUUCUAUCAGGAAUAUGCUGACAGCCAUGGUACUGCUCUUCUUGAGGUUUUGCAGUGCUACAUGAGUAAGUGAUGGUCCUGGUCCACUUGCAGAUUUAUUGUCCUGUUCUUGAAUUAUGAUGUAACAGGUAUGAACUUGAUGGUGUAUCAAGUACACAAGAAGGAAAAUGGUAUUAAGAAAUAAUAACAAUUGAUUAUAAUGGGAUUAAAUCUCUGAAAACAAUGAAAUAAAAAUGGAGUUGAUGCUGAAACUGCAUUAGGCAGGUGUAGAACUCUGCAUGCGAAAAUGCUAAAAAGAAUCAGAUGAAACUAUAAAGGGCAGUAUCAAUUUGAAACCGAUCAGUAUGUUUGGUGUGGAUCAGUUCUUUCCUGAUUGAAACUUCUGUUUCUUACCUAGAAUUUCAGUUUCUGUUUCAACUGUACUAGCUUUAAGUUAAGGGCCAAGAUUUUAAUUUCUUUUAAUAAAAUUUCUGCAGUGAUCAUGGUGAAGGGUAGUUCCUUCCUCGUGCAGCUAUCCUGGUGUUCCUCCUUUUUUUUUUUUUUUUCCUUUUUUUCUUUACAAGAUGGAGUAUAUGAUGCAGCAUUGAAAUUGAUUCCUAAACUAUUGCAAACUCAGGAUAGUAGCGAAAAUGGAUUAAUAGAUAUCUAGAAGCUGGAAAUGAAUGUAAGAUAUUGGCGUUGUGAUUUAACAAUAUUGUUCUAUAUAACUAAUUUUUCAAGAAAUGUAGAGAUUUUGAAUUUGCAGUAGCUCCUCUUUUUAUGACCAGUAUAGCAAUUACUUUAUCACUGAUAUGUUCGAUCGAGCAUAUGAAUUUGUGGAAUUCUGCUAGUCAGAAUAAAAGAUGUGUUUAAAUGUAAAAAUACUAACUAAAUGACUUGGAUUAAUAGUUGUGGCGGUGUUUCUUCCAUAGUUUUCUAUACUUGUAUGGACAAUAGACUCGUAUGUAUGUUAAUGCAGUUUUAGUGGUUCUAGGUUUUAAAUAAAAUUUGAAGGUUUCAGCUGUUAACUCAGUAGGAUUACUAGUGUGUAAUUUUCCUUCUGGUUCUUCUUACUGAGUCUUGUGUUGUGUGUGAUACGAUCAUGCACUAGAACAACUACAUUAACUGUCAAAAUAGAAUGCUUCAGGAAAUGAAAAAUGGGUCUGACAGAAAUGAUAUGGCAUAUUAGGCAUCCGUGUUAAAAAAUGAUGGUAUACUACAUGUAGGGUCAGGUGAAAUUCUGCGUAUUCUGGCCACAAUGAAACUGAGUACGCACUGUUGGGACAAUUUCCUGCUUCAAACAUGUUGGAAAAUGACAGCUUGGAAGAAAUGAAGACGUCGUUUCACCCCUGGUUGACCUAUUACGUUGUAUGAUUGGGUCUGAGUGAGCAGACCCACACUGCAAUGUGAAUUCAUGCUGGAUUUAUUGUUAUGGUCAUCUUUGUCACUAAACUUAUUGACUCUUAAUUGGUUUUACUAACUUUACCAAAGGUGGGUCUGUAGUUUCUCUCUUUGUUAAACAGGGGAUUCUUGCAUUCAAACCGUGGAGAAUCAGUCAUAUAGAUAGUGUCAAACAAGCAGAGCUUGUGGUGAAUCAGCACCGUUUGUUUGGGUGCCAGUAAUGUUGAUAUGUUGAUUCUGCACAAUGAUUGAUCCUCGACCAAUCGAAAUGUGUUAUGCCCUUGUGAUCCUUUGGUUCUCCUGUGGAUCACAGAAGCUGGUGAAUUGCUGCCACACACUUGCAUGUUCAGGCCAUGUGGAUUGCACAAAUGAGCAAAGACAAAGGGAUUCACCAACUCAGCGUCUAUUCUGGCACACCAAGAACAAGCACUUCUUCUGAGUAUUUUGUCUCUCUUCAUUGUGCCUGUUCAUCAGCAAAAUAACCCCCCUGCCCCCGGUUUGCAAUUGUGAUUUUCUCUGUAUCUCGUGGCGCAUAUUUAUUACACGGUCAGUUUCAAAAUCAUUCAUCUCGGUGGCCCCACUUUUUUCACUUUGCUUUCAUGAUGUUGAUCUGCUAAUGAUAAUUUUUUGUCAUCUUUGAUCUGGAGCCAACAGCAUUGGCGACAAUACAUGGAAGUUCUAAGAUAAAACUAACAAACUAAAGCUUGUGUAGGGACUGGGAAGGAUAUGAUACGCCAUUAAGCAAGACAAAGCUGGGAUGUGGAAAAAAUGGAUGUGCCAUGGCUAUGGAGGAUCAACAAUUACAGUCACCUUGGUGGGACUCCGCUGGUUACUAGAGCAAAGAGAGAGAUAAUAUGAGUUGAAAGCAAAUAUGAAGUAAAAGGUAAAGCUUUUUCCCAGAGAUUCCUCUCCCUAUCUGAUGGUUGGAUGAUAAAAGUUAUGAAAGGGUCAGUCAUCAGUUUCAGUAUGUUUUAUAUAUGUGUGUGAAAGGUUGGAGAAUGGGUGUGGUUCCCAAGUGAUGGGAUUGGUGGUGGGUGAGGUGAAAGCAGAACAAAUAGGAAGGAGACGAUCCAGUGAGCAGUGAUCCAUAAAAUGUUUUAACUUUUGCCAUUUGUAUUCUUUGUUAGAAUAAGAAAAUGAUUGGGACCGGAACAUGACCUUGUACGUUGGACAAGACAACUCCUUUCAGUCCA